rfam:Ovis aries breed Texel chromosome 2, whole genome shotgun sequence.
UCCCUGGUGGUUCCAUGGUUAGGACUUGGUGCUUUCACUGCUGUGGCCCUAGGUUCAAUUCCUGGUCAGGGAA